rnacentral:tRNA from 4 species
GGAGCGGUGUCCGAGUGGUUGAAGGAGCACGAUUGGAAAUCGUGUAUAGGGCAACCUAUCGAGAGUUCGAAUCUCUCUCGCUCCGCCA